rnacentral:rRNA from 1 species
UACGUAGGGUGCAAGCGUUAAUCGGAAUUACUGGGCGUAAAGCGUGCGCAGGCGGUUAUGUGAGACAGUUGUGAAAUCCCCGGGCUCAACCUGGGAACUGCAUCUGUGACUGCAUAGCUAGAGUACGGCAGAGGGGGAUGGAAUUCCGCGUGUAGCAGUGAAAUGCGUAGAUAUGCGGAGGAACACCGAUGGCGAAGGCAAUCCCCUGGGCCUGUACUGACGCUCAUGCACGAAAGCGUGGGGAGCAAACAGG